rnacentral:lncRNA from 1 species
UGCACAAGAAAUUGUAAUGCAAACCACACGUCCAAAUCAUUUCCUAAUGCUAUCAGCUUACAAAACCAUCAGCUUUUGGGCCUCACAUGCGCCUGUACAGGCCCAUGCAUGAGGACCCAAAGUUUCAUGCACACGAGCUUGUCACACUUUCCUUGCAGCUACAGCUAAAAAUAGAUGCAUCACUUCAUUCAAUUCUCAACCUGAAGGCGCCUAAAACUCUUCUGGAAUUGAAUCCCAACCUCACACCAAAGGAAUUUUUC